AGGGUGCGGAUCCCCCAUACCACCGGCAGGUUGUCACACCUUACUGCCAGGACCACCCUGGGGUCAUGUCCCCCGAGUGUGAUCCCUGCUGCCCCUGAGGCAGGGCUUUCAUCUUCCUUCUGGAUACAGGGAUGUCACCCUCGCCAGGACUAGUCCAGCUGGUCCUGACCGCUGCUCCCAUUUUCCAGGAAGUGUGGUGAAAAUACCAAAGUGAGCUGCAUGGGGUUUGUGCAGGAUUGGACCAUUGCUUGCUCAGUUUUGCCAAUGAUACUUGUAGGAGGAGAAUCUGAAUUGAUAUGAAUGGCAGUAUCAAUGACGGAAUUUCCUUGAUGAACCUGAUUCCCAAAGAUCUACAUGAUCCCAGUUACCACAAAGUAAAACCACAGCCCUCGGUAACUACAAGCAAAAGUACAUGAGAUAUUACAUGAGGUACAAUUACAUCUUUUUGGAAAACCA